rnacentral:tRNA from 1 species
GCUGGUGUAGCUCAGGGGUAGAGCAGGAGUUUUGUAAACUUCAGGUCAGCGGUUCAAAUCCGUUCACCAGCUCCA